UGUCUGACGAUGAGACUCACCAAGGCUGU
rnacentral:piRNA from 1 species